AAUUACUUCGUGUCGAACAGUCUGCACUGUAUUAGAUUUUGAUCGACUUGCUCGUCUCCAUCUCUACAUUCGCACUCUGCAGUCUCUCCUAUUUUCUAUCGCACAAGAUUCUUUUUUUACUUUUGCGACUUCAGUACUUAGGCGGUUUAAGAUUUUCCAUAGUCUAUAUUUAUAUAUCAGUUACCUGGUGGUAAAUCCUCUG